rnacentral:lncRNA from 1 species
CCCCAUAACAGGGUUGACUUAAAUGUUUAGUAGAUAUAGUCUCCCAAAAGUCUGUGCGCAGUUUUAAGUUAAUAACCUCAGAAGUAAAUAUACCACAAACUUAACAGAAGACAUCAUUCGAAAGUUUGAUAAAUUCAGUUUCUUUGAGGCAUAUGUAACUUUGUGAAUUUUGAGUGACAUAUUUUUUCAUUUCAAUUUUGUGUGGUCAGUGCUUACCAUCUUCAAUCAGAGGAGCAAAAAGGAAGAGUUCAGACUUAAAAUGUAGUAUUCAGAAUUGGCAGAACUACAUCCAUGUCAGAGAAAGUUCAUUUUCAGACCAUUGGUAGGUAUCUAGCAUCGAUGUUGGUGAAGCUGUUCAGCCUCAAAGCUGCAACAAGGUAACUUAGGAUACCUGCUUGUUGGCUGAAUGAGUGCAGGAACCAGGAGGUUGGUAGCUCAGGAAGCCAUCACCCCAGCCAGCUAUCUUCUCUGUGUACCUCUUUCUCCCCCUCUUGUAUGACCCCCA